rnacentral:lncRNA from 1 species
AUGAGAAGAACAAGACUGGGGUUUCUUAACCUCAGCUUUAUUGACAUUUUAUGCCAGAUAACUUGGUGUUGUAUGGUUUGUCCUGCAUACGACAGUGUGUUUAUCAUCUACUGGUUCUACCUAAAUGUCAGUAGGAUCUACUCCACUCUGAGCUAUGACAAUCAAAGGCAUCUGCGGACUCGGCCAUGUGUCCCCUGGGAAGGGAAAGGGACAACAUCAUCCCCCUUUGAAAACCGCUGCACUAGACUGAAAAGAAGGAAGGAAAAGGCUCCAGCUGCUUCAUGAACCCUAGUUCUGACUGUGUCCCCAGAGAGCCAGACCUGGAGCUCCCUUGUGCUCUUUGGACAGCAGGCUUGGACCCACCAACAUCACAAGGGCAGCUGGAGAUGGAAAGAGAUGUCCAAUAACCCCAGUGCUCUACACGUUUCAACUGAGGAUGGCAGGAUGCAGUACAAGUUGGUUAGAAGUGGAGAGAGCUGUAUGAGGAGCUCAAAAAGGAUACACCGACCCCAGAGAGGAGGGCUGCUGUCAUUGGAGGAGACCUGCGGCAGGCAAUGGGAUCCGGAAAGCCCUCCCAGCCCAUGUGUCUAGGGAUGGAAUAAGAAACACUCAAAGCCCUUGAGCUUCCUGAGAGUUUCUUCCUCUAUUAAAAGGAGAGAAUAAAAGUUCAUACAUCAUGGUAUUUUAUUGAUUGGAAAGUUAAUUGAAAACCCACUGUCACUUGGUCCUUCUCACCAUAACUAUGCAUGGUCAAUCUCACUAUUACCUUCUUUCUUUAUUAGUACGUAUUUGUAUCACAUAAUGAUUGCACUGUGGGAAGGUGGUACAUGUAAAUAUCACCUCUCAAUUCUUUUUAUGUCCCCUUCCCUCUCCUCCCCUUCCUCUGCACUUCCUUCAUCUCAUAGUUGAAAGCAACUGAGGUUCAAAGGUGAUUCAACUUGCAUGACCCUUGCAAGG